UCCUACGGGAGGCAGCAGUGGGGAAUUUUCCGCAAUGGGCGAAAGCCUGACGGAGCAAUACCGCGUGAGGGAAGAAGGCUCUUGGGUUGUAAACCUCUUUUCUCAGGGAAUAAAAAAAUGAAGGUACCUGAGGAAUAAGCAUCGGCUAACUCCGUGCCAGCAGCCGCGGUAAUACGGAGGAUGCAAGCGUUAUCCGGAAUGAUUGGGCGUAAAGCGUCCGCAGGUGGUACAACAAGUCUAGUGUCAAAGACCGGAGCUCAACUCCGGGUCGGCGGUGGAAACUGUUGAACUAGAGGGUCGUAGGGGUAGAGGGAAUUCCCAGUGUAGCGGUGAAAUGCGUAGAGAUUGGGAAGAACAUCGGUGGCGAAGGCGCUCUACUGGACGGUACCUGACACUCAGGGACGAAAGCUAGGGGAGCGAAUGGGAUUAGAUACCCCAGUAGUCCUAGCCGUAAACGAUGGAUACUAGGUGUGGCUUGUAACAAAACGAGCCGUGCCGUAGCUAACGCGUUAAGUAUCCCGCCUGGGGAGUACGCACGCAAGUGUGAAACUCAAAGGAAUUGACGGGG
rnacentral:rRNA from 1 species